AUUGAACGCUGGCGGCAUGCCUUACACAUGCAAGUCGAACGGUAACAGGUCUUCGGACGCUGGCGAGUGGCGAACGGGUGAGUAAUACAUCGGAACGUGCCCGAUCGUGGGGGAUAACGGAGCGAAAGCUUUGCUAAUACCGCAUACGAUCUACGGACGAAAGCAGGGGACCGCAAGGCCUUGCGAGGACGGAGCGGCCGAUGGCAGACUAGGUAGUUGGUGGGAUAAAAGCUUACCAAGCCGACGAUCUGUAGCUGGUCUGAGAGGACGACCAGCCACACUGGGACUGAGACACGGCCCAGACUCCUACGGGAGGCAGCAGUGGGGAAUUUUGGACAAUGGGCGCAAGCCUGAUCCAGCCAUGCCGCGUGCAGGAUGAAGGCCUUCGGGUUGUAAACUGCUUUUGUACGGAACGAAACGGCUCUUUCUAAUAAAGAGGGCUAAUGACGGUACCGUAAGAAUAAGCACCGGCUAACUACGUGCCAGCCGCCGCCGUAA
rnacentral:rRNA from 1 species